rnacentral:tRNA from 1 species
UCCUGUGUAGCUCAGUUGGUAAAGCAUCUGCCUGCAGUGCAGGAGGCCUGGGUUCAAUUCCUGGGUCAUGAA